CAAAUCCAAUAGAAACAACAAUAGCAAAUGAAUGAAAGAAAAAAAAAAGAGUUUCAUGCUGAUUAAUAAGUUCUGCCCAGAAUUGCCAUCGCACCAGACCAAAUUCCAUCGCCCAGAAAUUGAGAUUGCAUGCAGAGAAGAAAUGAAGCUGACGCUGGAUUAAUUCACUGAAAAUAACAAAUUGCUACGACUCGAAAAUUACCACGACUCUGAAAUUACCACACCAUCGGAAUUAUAGCUAAUUGGAGUUUCCGAAAUCGAAACCCGGCCGGAUGAAACUCUGCUAACCAAUCGGUCAAUUCUUCUCGAUCCAGCGGCAGGUGUUCGUCGGGCAGAAACAAUCUGGGCGGCAAAGCAAACAAUACCAUGCAUCGAAUAGAGACCACAACAUCUUUAAGACGACGGGAACUAAGAUGUCUGGGUAGAGCUACAAAGAAGAGAUACAUACAGUGAACACCUUCUUUGAAGGGUAAUAUUCUUUUAUAACUUUUUAACUAUAUUUUUUACAUCUAUAUAUAUAAUUAAUGCUUUAUUAUUAUUCUCUAUACAUUUAACAUCUCAUGUGUUUCAUUUAUAUAUCAGAUUUUAUUUUUGGUUUA